rnacentral:rRNA from 1 species
GUACACUCCUGCGGGAGGCAGCAGUGGGGAAUUUUGGACAAUGGGCGAAAGCCUGAUCCAGCAAUGCCGCGUGAGUGAAGAAGGCCUUCGGGUUGUAAAGCUCUUUUGUCAGGGAAGAAACGGUGAGAGCUAAUAUCUCUUGCUAAUGACGGUACCUGAAGAAUAAGCACCGGCUAACUACGUGCCAGCAGCCGCGGUAAUACGUAGGGUGCAAGCGUUAAUCGGAAUUACUGGGCGGAAAGCGUGCGCAGGCGGUUUUGUAAGUCUGAUGUGAAAUCCCCGGGCUCAACCUGGGAAUUGCAUUGGAGACUGCAAGGCUAGAAUCUGGCAGAGGGGGGUAGAAUUCCACGUGUAGCAGUGAAAUGCGUAGAUAUGUGGAGGAACACCGAUGGCGAAGGCAGCCCCCUGGGUCAAGAUUGACGCUCAUACACGAAAGCGUGGGGAGCAAACAGGAUUAGAAACCCGGGUAGUCCCA